rnacentral:rRNA from 1 species
UACGGGGGGGAGCAAGCGUUGUUCGGAUUUACUGGGCGUAAAGGGCGCGUAGGCGGUCAGCACAAGUCAGUUGUGAAAUCUCCGGGCUUAACUCGGAAAGGUCAACUGAUACUGUGCGACUAGAGUGCGGAAGGGGCAACUGGAAUUCUCGGUGUAGCGGUGAAAUGCGUAGAUAUCGAGAGGAACACCUGCGGCGAAGGCGGGUUGCUAGGCCGACACUGACGCUGAUGCGCGAAAGCCAGGGGAGCGAACGGG